UUGCACUUCUCUAUCUCCCAACCUAUAGUAGGAGUACCAUGAAAAAGCUUGAAGUUCCAUGGGAAGGAUUUGGAAUGCUUCAAGGUUCUUUGAAGACAUUGGAAGAAGAGACUUUGACAAAAGCUAAUAACAUGAGAAUCAAUGAAUACUUGUAAGGUCAAGAAGAAGGAGGUGGAACCAAGGCUCACCAAUAUGAGUCAUAUUGGGGAAGAAAACAUAUUUUGACCCUUUGGCAGAAAGCACCACGCCUAGGUUAAGGUCUCCACCAUGACUGGUCACCCUUGACAGAGGCCACAGUAGUCAUGACAGAUUAUGUUUGCAAAAUGAAAGCUUUUUCUAUGUGAGAUGUUUGGAAGAGCUUUUUUCGCUUAUAUUGUCUGUUAAUUUACUAGUUGUUUAAUUAUUCAUAUGGAAGUUCUAAGAGGCCCUAAGUAUAGUGACACCAUUUAACUAGAACAUGAUGAAGUGCUCAUGCUUUUUUCUUAAAAAAAAAUGAAACUCUCUGGAUUUUUGCAUCUAGUGAGUGAGUGAUUGUCAGGUGCAAUCCUUCUUUGCUGCAGUGAAGGCAUUGUCACGUAAAGAAAUGCACUAUGGGGCUUGUGCAACAUCAGAACAGGUCAAUGCAGCCGGUGAUCUUUGUGCUAUUUGUCAGGAGAAGAUGCAUACCCCAAUAUUACUAUGCUGUAAACAUAUUUUCUGUGAAGACUGUGUAUCAGAGUGUUAUUCUGAAGUCAUAUAUAUAAAUACUAGCCAGGAAGUUUUUUCUGCUUUGAAGCUUUACUUUUUCAAAGUAGCAACCACGAUCUAUAUACAUCAACACAUGUAAAAUGCUCUGGAGGCAAUCGUGGGGAUCCCUCUGAGAAAGAUGAAUGCAGCUGAAUACUGGUCAUGCGUUCAUAUAAUGUACUAGCAAAAGGUUGAGUGUAUAUGAAUGACCCUGUAAACUAGGAAGUCGAUUGAAAAUAUAAUUAAGCAUGACUCUUCAUUUGCAAGGAGUGAAGGUCUUCCUCCGAAUUGCAUAGCGAUUCUGUCAUAUAGUGCCAAUCAAACUGUUAAUUUCAAACAAAUUUUUUAUUUUUGAAUUUCUCUUUAUGUGGGUUUUGAUUCACACCUCAAGGAGUGUUGCCCACGGGCAGAUUAUGGUCAAAGAUCUCACACUUCGGUUCAUGUAUUGAAUCUGUGGAUACUAGUUUAAUAUUGUAAUACGUCUUUCAUUUAUCAUA